GCCCAGUACCAAUUAUACUUCAGUUGGUAGAGCAUGAGACUCUUGAUCUCAGAGCUGUGGGUUCAUAUUCUCAGAGCUGGGCA